rfam:Gossypium arboreum cultivar AKA8401 contig_7124_7, whole genome shotgun sequence.
AUCUCAUGAUGAGGACACUUACGAUGUAACUCCUUGAAUUGCUCCUAAGCCUCAUACAAAGACUCGUUAUCCAAUUGAUGGAAAGUUGUGACCCCGUUUCUCAACAU